GGGAUCCAAGUGACCGCAUUGCCAUCCUGCUUCCUCACUCAAUCGCAUACGAACGCACACCGGCUAGCCCACAGUAACGCGUGCCACGGCAGCUAAAGAGCACCGCAUCCAUUCUCCUGAGUUUUUUUUUUGUUUUGGUCCUCAACUCCGUUGUUGGCCCUCAUCGAGCUGCACACGUGUGUGUUUUUCCGGCGGUCGCUCUGAACGCUGCCGCACCUUCCGCCUUUUGUUUUCUCGUCACGUCACAGAGCGGAACCCGAGGACAACGCAGGAACACGACGCUCGCUCACAGCCUCCGCCGCAGUCAUGCAGUUUGUGAUCAACUCCUCGUCCAUUCUUGCGCCGGCGUUGCAGCAUGCUCUCGAGAGCGUCUUGAGUGUGCCGGCGCUGUGCAUCGAGAUGUGUGCCGAGGGUCCCCACCGCGUUACAGUAGAUGGGAAGACCUUCCGCGGGCUCCAGCCGUUUCUGCAGGCGCUGCGCCGCACCGCCGUGACACCGGAGCAGAAGGCCUUCCUCGGGGAGGACGAGGAGCAGGUAUCGCUGGUGAACCAGUGGGUUGGCGCGGCGGCUGUGCUAGACGCCGACGUCGCGCGCGCCGUUGCCGAACCUGCCACCUCGGUUGCCAAGGCUCUCUACAGUGAUGUGGAGCGCAUUCUUGUGGCGACGUCGAACGCAGCUUCGCACUACCUCACCGGUAGCGAGCGCGCCACAAUGGCCGACGUGCUCCUGUACGCCGCCGCCUUCAACCACUCGGCCCACACGGAGGUGCUGCCAACAACCAUGAAGUGGGCUGUGCACGCACAGCAGGACGCCUACCUGGCCCCCAUUCGCUCGUCGGCUGUGAAGACGGCGGAGAACCAUAGCGCUGGCAAGGCUCACGGCGCGACCAGGGCGGAGGUCUCCUACGUUAAGCCGUCCGAGGAGGAGAUUUUGCGGCGCCGUGCGGAGAAAGAGAAGGCAAAGGCGGAGAAGGCUGCUGCUGUCGCCGCGGCGAAAGCCUCAGCUAGCCCCAGCGCCCGCGCACCAGAGGGCAAGAAGGCCACUAAGACGCAGCUGGAUUCUACGAGCCUGUGCGUGCGUGUGGGGCAGCUGACAAACCUGCGCCGUCACCCUGGCGCCGACCGGCUCUACGUCGAGGACAUGGUGCUCGGUGAUGAGACACGCACCAUUGUGAGCGGGCUGGUGGGGAACUACGUGAUCGAGGAGCUGGAGGGCACGCAGUGCCUCGUCGUGUGCAACAUGAAGCCAAAGUCACUUAUGGGUGUCACUUCGCAGGGGAUGGUGCUGUGCGCCAAGAGGGACGCUGAAGUGAAGCUCAUCCGCCCUCCGGCGUGCGCCAAGCCAGGCGACCGCAUCCUAUUCGGCGCCUCGUAUGACGCUGCUGUCGCCGCGGCUGCCGCUUCGGAGCCGAUAUCGGGCAAUAAGAUGACCGAGGUUCUCUCCCACCUGCACACAAACGCCGACGGCGUCCUUUGCUGGAAGGAGGAGCCUGCGCGGCACCCGAGCGGUGCGGCGGUGGCCAUUGCGGACAUGGCAAACUGCCCUGUGAGCUGAGGCGCGGCCUCUACCAAAACACGUGGUACUGCGCGACGGACCGACGGGGCGACGGGGACCGGACAGGAGGGCAGGCGGGGGGGGGCGCCCGUUUGCGCGUUGCUCUCCAUCGAAGACGAAUUCCUUUUUUUUUUUCGCUGUUGUCAACACCUCGGCGCUUGUGAGGGCGAAGGGGGAAGACCCUGUUUAGAAGGGCGCAAGAUGGACAAGACGGCAACAGCCGUACCCGAAGAGAGAAUGCAUUUGGCUCUACUGUCGCGAUGCCUUCGUGCGUGUGCUUUCCUUUCAGUUUUCGUUAUGUCGCGUGCGUGCCCGCUGGUGCUCGCAGCUGUGUCUGUGGAUUUCAAGACGGAUGCGUUCUGCGUUCGCGUGCACAGGGGCGUUCUUGUAGGCCGCAUUGCGCGUUUGUGCACUGAUCGACUCACUCACGUGCGCGCCUACGCAGGGAAGGCCGUCUUUCGCACCGCCAUUUUUUCUUUGGUGCAUCCUCGAGCCAGAGGCCAUGCCACGCCUUGCGUCUUUUCCUCUCACUCUGCAUGCCCCUCAUGACGGGAAGCGGGCGCGCGUCAGCGCGUGACAGCGCAGGAUCGAGUGCACCCUCUCCCCAUCCCCUGCGAAUGCUGCACCACCUCUGGCGGUGACAGGGGCCCGGUGACUAGGACGUGGGGAGGUCAGAGCGAGUCGUCGUCGCGGAUGCCGGCGGCCAGGUCUUGGAUGGCGCUGCUUCGGAGCGACCCGCGACAGUGAGCACGUUUGCAUGACCCAUACGAUGCUUGCGAGCUGUCAGCGUGGCUUGCGCGCAUCCGCCCUCCCUCCUCCGGCCCUCGCACUGCCUACUGGUGCGGUGAGCCUGAGGAGCCACCGUGAGGGCGACGCACAAUACGACGACCGGCAUGAUGGGUGCGGCGGUGGGGCGACCUGCGAGGCGGCGCGUGGUGGGUGGGGAGCUCUGAGGCAGAGGGCAUGCCCUCAGAUGACUGGGUGGGCGCAUUGCUGUGACGUGUGUCUAGCGCUGCGUCGCACCACGCGGAUGUGGGCCUGCGACAGGGCCUGGGGGUGCGGAAGGUAGAGUGGGAGGUAGCAUAGCGGUCUGACCGACGGUCUAUGGCAGGAGGACGCGUAUUGGUAAGGCCGAAAAACCAAUGUUUUCGGGUUUCGGUCUAUCACGAUCAGGUUAUGGGGUGGCGGUGAUUCACUCACAAAGUAAUGGUCCGCGCGGUUCUGUGCAGACAGACGUAGAUAUGGAUAUGCGCCCCACCGAGG
rnacentral:misc_RNA from 1 species